AGGUUAGCCCAGAGAGAAGAAUCACUCACUCACAAACAUUUACGGGUGGUUCCUAUGUGUAAGGGUUUGUUUAGUACCAGGGAGCCUGGCAGUAAACAAAACACAUGCAAAUCCCUGCCUGUAGUGCAGACAUCCUAAUACAGGCAGACAUAGACAAAACAAUGAAGGAAUGAUGUCACAUGUCAAAUGGAGAAAACUGCACAUAGACAAGUCAGGAAGAAAGAGGUAUGAACAGGCCAGGACGGCUGGCCUGGGGAUACAGUUUGAAAUAAAGGAGGCAGGGAAGGCCUCUUGGAGAAGGUGACAUCUGAGCAGAAACUUGAAGAUCAGGGAGGGAGCCAUGCCAAAUCUGAGGAAAGAGGAUUUCAAGGAAAGGGAACGGCAAGUGCAAAGGUCCUGGGGGUAGGCUUAGGUCUGGAGUGUUGUAUGACUAGGCAAUUAACAGUGCAUGCAGAGUAGAGAUGUGAGGGUGGGAGGUCCAGGAGCCUAGUAGAGGGAGGUUAUAGAAGAUCAGUGCUUAAAAAGAAUGUAAGGAAUUUUGAAUUCACUGCAAGUGAGGAAAAUUGAGAGUUAUGAGCAAAGGAGUGAUGUUUUGACACACACUUUGAAAGGAUUCCUCUGGCUGCUGAGCUAUGGAUAGAUUGAGUUGGGUGGGGGUGGCAAUACCAGAAGCAGACGGACAAGUUAGGAGGCUUCUGGACUAUCUCAGUGAUAAGAAGUGGUUUGAAUCAGGGUGUUAGCCAAAUUCACUUGCUAUUUGAAGAUGAAGUUGAUCGCAUUUGCUGAUGAGUUGGAUGCCGUGGUGGAGAAGGAAAGGAGGGAAAGGAGACUGAAAAGCAAAAAAUAAAAGACUGCCCCCAUUUGUCUGGCUUGAGCCCCUGGAAGCUCCCCUUUAAUGAACUGAGAUGGGAUUCUAGCACAGGGGCUGUCUUUGGGAGGCAGAGCAGGAACUCGUUUAGGACACUUGAAGUUAAAGACUAUACGGGACAAUGUGGAGAGGCAAGUGUACCUAUGGUUCUGGAACUUGGGCAAAGGUCCCGGCUGGAGAGAGUGUGUCUGGGUCAGAGAUCCAGUCUGGGGCUGGAUCUCUGCCACUGGAUGCAGAUGCAAGAGAAUGGAGGUCCAAGAGCCCUGGGACAUCGUCCCCUUCAGAGUAGGGAACAGACUAGGAAACAGAAAAGGUGGGCCAGGGGGACGUGGGGAAGGGCCUGGGUGCUGGCCAGGGUCCGGGAGGGAGGUGCCACAGUGGGACCUCGUGCUUAGGCCCAGCCAGGCCUUGUCAGGGGCUGCCUGUGGGUGCGUGGGGAGAAGGCCAGGACUAACCAUUGAUUUACACCAAGUGGGUAUCGCUGACUCCAGCAGGAGCAGUUUAAAUGGCCUGCUGGGGGCAGCAGAGUCCUGGGAGAGUGGGCUCUGGAGGAAGUACCUGAGAGGCACUGGAAAUAGGGCUCCAGACAGAUCGCUCUUUAGAGGAGGUUCCCUCAGAGGGAAGUAGAGAAUGGACAGCCGGGCUAGGAGACUGGACUCGGGAGACCCUGAGCUACAGUCUGGUCGGCACCUGUUAAGUGAAUCCCAGGACAGUGUCCCUCAAGAACAUGGGGACAGUGGAGAUUGGGAUGGCAGUGAUGUCCUUGAGCAGCAAGACCAGGUGGGACCCCGGCUCUGGCCUCAGACAGGCCUGCCUGGGACAGAAGGUUGGGGAUUUCCUCAUUUCAUUUCAUCCAGCCCGCGGGAAGUACCAGGAAAGUAGUACAGAGGACCAUGACUCCUUUUCUGUCGGAAUUCACAAGGGAGAAAAUAUGUGUGAGGACAGUUAAU